GAUUGCGGAGCCUCUCCGCUUGCCUUCUCUUGAGGACUUAUCAGGGGUAUUGGGAAGGGGACUCCUCUUUGGAGGUCUUUAGCACAAAAAUAAACAAACAAAUCAGAUUGCCUCCCAUAUGGCACAGACACUCAGCAAACAUGGCCUACAGAGUAGGACUUAUGCAAUGAAUGUCUAGGUCCUACUUCUCAUGGCAUCAAUGAUAAAUGUCUACCCUACUUCUC
rnacentral:lncRNA from 1 species